ACUCCGACAAUCCUUACUUCAACACAUAAAUUGUUAUAUAUAUAUAUAUAACAAUUUAUGUGUUGAAGUAAGGAUUGUCGGAGUUACUGGCU
rnacentral:pre_miRNA from 1 species